UGGGGGAGUAUUGCACAAUGGGGGAAACCCGUGAUGCAGCGACGCCGCGUGGGUGAAGAAGCGCCUCGGCGCGUAAAGCCCUGUCAGCAGGGAAGAAAAUGACGGUACCUGAAGAAGAAGCCCCGGCUAACUACGUGCC
rnacentral:rRNA from 1 species